AUUGAACGCUGGCGGCAUGCCUUACACAUGCAAGUCGAACGGUAACACGUCUUCGGACUCUUACUAGUGGCGAACGGUUGAGUAAUGCAUCGGAACGUGCCCAGUCGUGCUUUAUAACUGCUCGUAAGAUCAGCUAAUACCCCAUACUACCUGAUGCUGCAUGCGGGUGACCGUAAGGCCUCUUCCGAUUUUGCCCGCCGAUGUGAGAUUAUCUAGUUGGGGGGGUAAAGGCCUACCAAGGCCACGAUCUGCAGUUGGUCUGAGAGGACGACCAGCCACACUGGGACUGAGACACGGCCCAGACUCCUACGGGAGGCAGCAGUGGGGAAUUUUGGACAAAGGGCGCAAGCCUGAUCCAGCAAUGCCGCGUGCAGGAAGAAGGCCUUCGGGUUGUAAACUGCUUUUGUCAGGGAAGAAAUCUUCUGGGCUAAUACCCCGGGAGGAUGACGGUACCUGAAGAAUAAGCACCGGCUAACUACGUG
rnacentral:rRNA from 1 species